rnacentral:rRNA from 1 species
UAAGACGGAGGGGGCAAGCGUUGUUCGGAUUUAUUGGGCGUAAAGAGCUCGUAGGCGGUUGGGUAAGUCCGAUGUGAAAUCUUCACCGCUCAACGGGAAGUCUGCAUCGGAAACUGCCUGACUUGAGUACGGGAGAGGUGAGCGGAAUUCCUGGUGUAGCGGUGGAAUGCAUAGAUAUCAGGAAGAACACCGUUGGCGAAGGCGGCUCACUGGCCCGAAACUGACGCUGAGGAGCGAAAGCGUGGGGAGCGAACGGGAUUAGAUACCCCGGUAGUCCACGCCGUAAACGAUGGGUGCUAGUUGUUGGGGAGCAUGCUCUUCAGUGACGCAGCUAACGCAUUAAGCACCCCGCCUGGGGAGUACGGUCGCAAGAUUA